UACGUAGGGGGCGAGCGUUGUCCGGAAUCAUUGGGCGUAAAGAGCGUGUAGGCGGCUUGGCAAGUCUGACGUGAAAGCCCGCGGCUCAACCGCGGAUUGUCGUUGGAAACUGCCUCGCUAGAGUCCGGAAGAGGAGAGCGGAAUUCCUGGUGUAGCGGUGGAAUGCGCAGAUAUCAGGAAGAACACCCGUGGCGAAGGCGGCUCUCUGGGACGGUACUGACGCUGAGGAGCGAAAGCAUGGGGAGCGAACAGG
rnacentral:rRNA from 1 species